AGACCAAAUUAACAUUUUCAUCUUAAAACUAAACAAAACUAUAUAUACACAUUCAAGUAACAAAAAACUCAACAUCAACCCACGUACUGAAAUUGAUUCUUGAUCCAAAUUCUAAACUGUUCAACAAUUAUACAGAACCAAACGCCUUGAACAAAGAUUACAAAAAUACUUCCUCUUGAAUGUGAAACAUAAGGGCAAACAGAAAAAUCUCGAUUGAAUUCCAACAUCCACUGCUUCCACUUUCCCUCCACAGUAAGGGCAUGCCCCAGAAGCCUGUUGCCUUCUAACUUCUUUUUCCUCUUUACUACAUAGCAAUAAACACAUUUUUCUUCUCGCUUUCACCUUCCACUGUGUGGGUCUUUGAUCGAGAAAAUUUUGACAAGACGAUCCGACGGCAAGAAGAUUCCAAGUUAACUUUGAU
rnacentral:lncRNA from 1 species